AGAGUUUGAUCCUGGCUCAGGAUGAACGUUGGUAGCAUGCCUAACACAUGCAAGUCGAGCGGAAAGUAGCAAUACUUUUAGCGGCGAACGGGUGAGUAAUACUUAUCUUACCUACCAUUCAGUGGGGGACAACCAAAGGAAACUUUGGCUAAUACCGCAUAUUCUGGUUUCGACCAGGAAAGGGCUUCGGCUCGCUAGAUGAUGGGGAUAAGGCGUAUUAGCUAGUUGGUGGGGUAAAGGCCUACCAAGGCAAAGAUGCGUAGCCAAACUGAGAGGUUGAAUGGCCACAGGGAAACUGAGACACGGUUCCCACUCCUACGGGAGGCAGCAGUGAGGAAUAUUCCGCAAUGGGCGAAAGCCUGACGGAGCAAUGCUACGUGAAGGAUGAAGGUCUACGGAUUGUAAACUUCUGUUCGAAGGGAAGAAAAAAAUGACAUUACCUUCGGAGAAAGCCACGACUAACUAUGUGCCAGCAGUCGCGGUAAGACAUAGGUGGCGAACGUUAUCCGGAUUUAUUGGGCGUAAAGGAUGCGUAGAUGGUGGAAUAAGUUAUUGGUCGAGGUCAAGCUCAACUUGGCGGAAGCUGAUAAUACUGUUCUACUUGAGGACAGGAGAGGUUGGCGGAAUUCUGUGUGGAGCGGUGAAAUGCGUUGAUCUACAGAGGAACACCAAAAAGGGCGAAGGCAGCCAACUAUUCUGAUCCUGACAUUGAGGCAUGAAAGCGUGGGGAGCAAACCGGAUUAGAUACCCGGGUAGUCCACGCCCUAAACGAUGAGCAUUAGACAUUAGGUGUUAUGCUUAGUGUCGCAGCUAACGCUUUAAAUGCUCCGCCUGGGUAGUACGGUCGCAAGGCUGAAACUCAAAGGAAUUGACGGGGACUCGCACAAGCGGUGGAGCAUGUGGUUUAAUUCGAUACAACGCGCAGAACCUUACCAAGGCUUGACAUGAAGGGCAAUGUUGAGGAAACUCAACGGAGGUUAUCCCGACACAGGUGGUGCAUGGUCGUCGUCAGUUCGUGCUGUGAAGCGUAUGCUUAAGUGCUAGAACGAACGCAACCCUCAUAUUCAGUUGCUACCAUUUAGUUGAGAACUCUGAAUAGACUGCCAGGGUAACCUGGAGGAAGGAGAGGAUGACGUCUGAUCAUCAUGCCCCUUAUGCCUUGGGCUACACACGUGCUACAAUGGUUAGGACAAAGAGUUGCUAACCUGUAAAGGAAAGCCAAUCUCAAAAAACUAACCUUAGUUCGGAUUGAGGUCUGCAACUCGACCUCAUGAAGUAGGAAUCGCUAGUAAUCGUGAAUCAGCAAUGUCACGGUGAAUACGUUCUCGAGUCUUGUACACACCGCCCGUCAAAUCACGAAAGUCGGUAAUGCCUGAAACCAACUAACUAACCUGUAAAGGAAGCAGUUGACUAGGGUAGGAUUGGCAAUUGGGGUUAAGUCGUAACAAGGUAGCCGUAG
rnacentral:rRNA from 1 species